rnacentral:rRNA from 1 species
ACGGGAGGCAGCAGUGGGGAAUAUUGGACAAUGGGCGCAAGCCUGAUCCAGCAAUGCCGCGUGAGUGAUGAAGGCCUUCGGGUUGUAAAGCUCUUUCGCACGCGACGAUGAUGACGGUAGCGUGAGAAGAAGCCCCGGCUAACUUCGUGCCAGCAGCCGCGGUAAUACGAAGGGGGCGAGCGUUGUUCGGAAUUACUGGGCGUAAAGGGCGCGUAGGCGGUGCACCAAGUCAGGCGUGAAAGCCCCGGGCUCAACCUGGGAACGGCGCUUGAGACUGGUGCGCUCGAGUUCGGGAGAGGACGGCGGAAUUCCCAGUGUAGAGGUGAAAUUCGUAGAUAUUGGGAAGAACACCGAUGGCGAAGGCAGCCGUCUGGACCGACACUGACGCUGAGGCGCGAAAGCGUGGGGAGCAAACAGGAUUAGAUACCCUGGUA